GGGUGUAAUAAGCAAUUCUCUCAUAUAUCCCCGGGAAUAUGGCCCGAAAGUUUCUACCCAAUAACCGUAAAUUAUUGGACUAUGAGAGAAAGUAGAACCGUU
rnacentral:ncRNA from 1 species